UUCCUACGGGAGGCAGCAGUAGGGAAUAUUGCACAAUGGGCGAAAGCCUGAUGCAGCAACGCCGCGUGCACGAUGAAGGCCUUCGGGUCGUAAAGUGCUUUUCGGGGAGAUGAGGAAGGACAGUAUCCCCGGAAUAAGGAUCGGCUAACUACGUGCCAGCAGCCGCGGUAAAACGUAGGAUCCGAGCGUUAUCCGAAUUUACUGGGCGUAAAGCGCGUGUAGGCGGUUUGGUAAGUUGGAUGUGAAAGCUCCCGGCUCAACUGGGAGACGUCGUUCAAUACUGCCAGGCUAGAGGAUGGUAGAGGGAGGUGGAAUUCCCGGUGUAGUGGUGAAAUGCGUAGAUAUCGGGAGGAACACCAGUGGCGAAGGCGGCCUCCUGGGCCAUUCCUGACGCUCAGACGCGAAAGCUAGGGGAGCAAACGGGAUUAGAAACCCCGGUAGUCCUAGCUGUAAACGAUGUGGACUUGGAGGUUGUGCCCUUGAGGCGUGGCUUCCGGAGCUAACGCGUUAAGUCGACCGCCUGGGGAGUACGGCCGCAAGGUUAAAACUCAAAUGAAUUGACGGAA
rnacentral:rRNA from 1 species